AGCGAACGCUGGCGGCAGGCCUAACACAUGCAAGUCGAGCGCCCAGCAAUGGGAGCGGCAGACGGGAUAGUAACACGUGGGAACGUACCCUUCAGUUCGGAACAACCCAGGGAAACUUGGGCUAAUACCGAACACGUCCGUAAGGAGAAAGAUUUAUCGCUGAAGGAUCGGCCCGCGUCUGAUUAGCUAGUUGGUGAGGUAACGGCUCACCAAGGCGACGAUCAGUAGCUGGCUGAGAGGAUGAUCAGCAUCACUGGGACUGAGACACGGCCCAGACUCCUACGGGAGGCAGCAGU
rnacentral:rRNA from 1 species